rnacentral:rRNA from 1 species
UGGGGAAUCUUGGACAAUGGGGGCAACCCUGAUCCAGCCAUGCCGCGUGAGUGAUGAAGGCCUUAGGGUCGUAAAGCUCUUUCGCCUGUGAAGAUAAUGACGGUAGCAGGUAAAGAAACCCCGGCUAACUCCGUGCCAGCAGCCGCGGUAAUACGGAGGGGGUUAGCGUUGUUCGGAAUUACUGGGCGUAAAGCGCACGUAGGCGGACCAGAAAGUUGGGGGUGAAAUCCCGGGGGCUCAACCCCGGAACUGCCUCCAAAACUAUUGGUCUAGAGUUCGAGAGAGGUGAGUGGAAUUCCAAGUGUAGAGGUGAAAUUCGUAGAUAUUCGGAGGAACACCAGUGGCGAAGGCGGCUCGCUGGCCAGAUACUGACGCUGAGGUGCGAAAGCGUGGGGAGCAAACAGGAUUAGGAUACCCUGGUAGUCCACGCCGUAAA